rnacentral:lncRNA from 1 species
UUUGGGUGAAUCAUGGAGCCAUCGUAUUUUGUUUGAUGAUUUCAUUUCUGGUUAUUGAUUUUGCUGGGAUAUAGAGUUGGUCAAAAGAAAUUGAAAAAAGGUCAAUACUUUUUGUCCAUGGAAUGGAUUGAAUCAUUGAAUAGGAAGCCUCAUUGACCCAAAAAGGUCAAUACUUUUUGUCUUGGUUUCAUUGUCUUAAUUUUGAUUUCAUUCUCUAUCUCACGGUCAAAGUUUCUGCUUUUUUUUUUUCUUUUUUU